UCAUGUUGAAAAUAUAAAAAAUCAAACAAAUCAUGAUAUGCACUGUUUUUGUAUCAUUCUUCGCGAAGUCGUUCCGACUUCCAUCUACUGAAGGCAAUACGGAUUUCCGACUACCCAUGUUGAAUGACUAAUUUAUUUCAUUUAUAACAACAAUUUGUGGCUUGCCAAACCAAUAUCACAUUUGCAGCUUGCUAAACCAUGACAUGAUCUAUGAUUACGACCAUACAAACCACAGUAGUCCUACAU
rnacentral:lncRNA from 1 species